GACGAACCGUGCGAACGUUGUUCGGAAUCACUGGGCUUAAAGGGCGCGUAGGCGGGCGAUCAAGUCAGGGGUGAAAUCCGUCGGCUUAACCGGCGAAGAGCUUUUGAUACUGGUCGUCUCGAGGGAGAUAGGGGCGUGCGGAACUUCCGGUGGAGCGGUGAAAUGCGUAGAUAUCGGAAGGAACACCGGUGGCGAAAGCGGCGCGCUGGAUCUCUUCUGACGCUGAUGCGCGAAAGCCAGGGGAGCAAACGGG
rnacentral:rRNA from 1 species